CACAAUCGCCUAAAACGAAAAGCCUAAGCCAUCCCAAACAAACAGAAAAAAAAAACCAUGGCCAACCUUAGCUUCUUCCUAUUGUUGCUGGUCGCAAUCUUUUUGAUUUUCUCCGAUUGCAUGGAGGCAGUGUACGGAGCGGAUACAUCGGGGGGUGGUGUAGCGAGCGGAAUAACGGACAGAACAUCGGGUGUUUUAGGCGGCACUCGCUAAUAGCAAGAAAAGGUGGCCCGGUUAAUCCGCCGAAGCGAAAAAAUCCGGGUAAUGCGCCGAAAGGAAAAAACCCAAGAUACGACCAAAAUGGCUAAUUCCAAUAAAUAAUAUACAUUUAAUCCUGCACUAAUCAAAAACAA